GCCGUUCAGAGUGUUGUUCGUUGCCACACAGCCACCACCGGAAUAUGUUUUAUUUAUUCCACUACACACGUUAAAACAUCACCGACCUGAGUAAACACAGCAUAGAGCAGUUGAAACGUGAAUUCAUUUACUACUGAGAAGUUUGUAUCUUUAUUGUUGAAAUGGAAUCUGCGGUUACUGGCUAGUUGUUGUUGUAGCGGCUAAACUAGCACGUCGCGAUACUCAAGGGGAUCAUGUCUGCGCAGAGUUAAUGCGCAAAGGCUUGAAGCGGCGCUUGUCAGGUUGGUGUGAAGGUGUGAAGGUGUGGACUCUGCUAUGAAUCAGGCUGAGGACCCAGAGGACGGAGUCCCUCCCUCUGAAGCCCCUCUGUGUGGGGAACAUGACAGCCAGACCAAAGCUCAGAGGACCCAUCAGAGACCAGGACCUGGACCUGGACCCAGCUGUGUGUCCAUGAAGAGUAACCGGUCUAUGGAUCCUCCUCUAAACUUCAAAGAUGUUGGUCCCUCUGUUGAUGCAAGGUGAGGGUCUCAGGCUGAUGAUGAGGUGUUUCUACCAGACUCUCUGGUGGAGGUUCUGGGUUUCUUGCUCCAGGGCCCUUCAGCAGUGUCCAGUGAUGGAGGGAGAGCUCCAUGGAGGACUUGGCGAGACCUGUUGGGACUAAACCAAACUGACUGGUGAAGAAAACAGUGAGCUGAAAGACUGAGCUGUUGAUUGUCAGUGGG
ensembl:lncRNA